rnacentral:misc_RNA from 1 species
GAUGAAGAACGUAGCGAAAUGCGAUAGGUAAUGUGAAUUGCAGAAUUCAGUGAAUCAUCGAAUCUUUGAACGCACAUUGCGCCCGCCAGUAUUCUGGCGGGCAUGCCUGUUCGAGCGUCAUUUCAACCAUCAAGCCCCCGGCUUGUGUUGGGGACCUGCGGCUGCCGCAGGCCCUGAAAAGCAGUGGCGGGCUCGCUGUCACACCGAGCGUAGUAGCAUACAUCUCGCUCUGGGCGUGCUGCGGGUUCCGGCCGUUAAACCACCUUCAUAACCCAAGGUUGACCUCGGAUCAGGUAGGAAGACCCGCUGAACUUAAGCAUAUCAAUAAGCGGAGGA